rnacentral:rRNA from 1 species
AAUAAGUAUUGAUCCGCGGAUGUCCGAAUGGGGCAACCCACCUAGAGUCAUGACUAGGUAUCCUGUACUGAAUACAUAGGUGCAGGAGGUGAACCGCCUGAACUGAAACAUCUAAGUAGGGCGAGGAAGAGAAAUCAAACGAGAUUCCGAAAGUAGUGGCGAGCGAAAUCGGAAGAGGCCAAACCAGGGGUAGAAAUACCUCUGGGGUUGAGGAGUGCAUUUAGGAUUGUGCGAGUUUAAGAGAACGGCAUGGUAAGGCCGGCCAGAGAGGGUGAGAGCCCCGUAUCUGAAAAGCGAG